UGCUGCAUAGCUCAGUGGUAGAGCAGUUGACUGUUAAUCAAUUGGUCGAAGGUUCAAAUCCUUCUGCAGCCG